GACGGACGCUGGCGGCGUGCCUAAUACAUGCAAGUAGAACGCUGAAACUUGGUGCUUGCACCGAGCGGAUGAGUUGCGAACGGGUGAGUAACGCGUAGGUAACCUGCCUGGUAGCGGGGGAUAACUAUUGGAAACGAUAGCUAAUACCGCAUAAGAGUAGAUGUUGCAUGACAUUUGCUUAAAAGGUGCAAUUGCACCACUACCAGAUGGACCUGCGUUGUAUUAGCUAGUUGGUGGGGUAACGGCUCACCAAGGCGACGAUACAUAGCCGACCUGAGAGGGUGAUCGGCCACACUGGGACUGAGACACGGCCCAGACUCCUACGGGAGGCAGCAGUAGGGAAUCUUCGGCAAUGGACGGAAGUCUGACCGAGCAACGCCGCGUGAGUGAAGAAGGGUUUCGGAUCGUAAAGCUCUGUUGUAAGAGAAGAACGAGUGUGAGAGUGGAAAGUUCACACUGUGACGGUAUCUUACCAGAAAGGGACGGCUAACUACGUG
rnacentral:rRNA from 1 species